GACGAACGCUGGCGGCGUGCUUAACACAUGCAAGUCGAAGAUAGUGGCGAACGGGUGAGUAAUACGUGGGUAACCUGCCCUCCUUUUUGGGAUAAGCCUUGGAAACUGGGUCUAAUACUGGAUGGAUUGGGAUGGGCUCGCGGCUUCUCAGCUUGUUAGCGGGGUGAUGGCUUACCAAGGCAGUGACGGGUAGCCGGCCUGAGAAGAUAGACGGUCACGCAGGAACUGAGGUACGCCCCAGACUCCUACGGGGGGGAGCAGUUGGGGAUAUUGGAGAAUGGACGGAAGACUGAUGCAGCGACGUCGUGUGGGGGAUGAAGGCCUUCGGGUUGUAAACUCCUUUCGCCCGCGGAAUGGUAGUGGGUAAAGAAGCGCCGGCUAACUACGUGCCAGCAGCCGCGGUAAUAC
rnacentral:rRNA from 1 species